GUGAGUCAUCGAAUCUUUGAACGCACAUUGCGCCCCCUGGUAUUCCGGGGGGCAUGCCUGUCCGAGCGUCAUUACAACCCUCAAGCCUAGCUUGGUGUUGGGCCCCGCCGCCUGGCGGGCCCUAAAGUCAGUGGCGGUGCCGUCCGGCUCCGAGCGCAGUAGCUCUUCUCGCUCUGGACGCCUGGGCGAGUGCUUGCCAGCAACCCCCCCAUCUCUCAGGUUGACCUCGGAUCAGGUAGGGAUACCCGCUGAACUUAAGCAUAUCAAUAAGCGGAGGA
rnacentral:misc_RNA from 1 species